rnacentral:rRNA from 1 species
CUUGAACGCUGGCGGCAGGCUUAACACAUGCAAGUCGAGCGAGCGGCGGACGGGUGAGUAAUGUCUGGGAAACUGCCUGAUGGAGGGGGAUAACUACUGGAAACGGUAGCUAAUACCGCAUACCAUCAGAUGUGCCCAGAUGGGAUUAGCUAGUAGGUGGGGUAAAGGCUCACCUAGGCGCCGAUCCCUAGCUGGUCUGAGAGGAUGACCAGCCACACUGGAACUGAGACAGGGUCCAGACGCAUACGGGAGGCAGCAGGGGGGAAUAUUGCACAAGGGGCGAAAGCCUGAUGCAGAAAUGCAGCGUGAAUGAAGAAGGAAUUCGGGUUGUAAAGGACUUUCAGCGGGGAGGCGUUACCCGCAGAAGAAGCACCGGCGAACUCCGUGCCAGCAGCCGCGGUAAUUC